rnacentral:rRNA from 1 species
GAUGAACGCUGGCGGCGUGCCUAAUACAUGCAAGUCGAGCGAACAGACGAGGAGCUUGCUCCUCUGACGUUAGCGGCGGACGGGUGAGUAACACGUGGAUAACCUACCUAUAAGACUGGGAUAACUUCGGGAAACCGGAGCUAAUACCGGAUAAUAUAUUGAACCGCAUGGUUCAAUAGUGAAAGACGGUUUUGCUGUCACUUAUAGAUGGAUCCGCGCCGCAUUAGCUAGUUGGUAAGGUAACGGCUUACCAAGGCAACGAUGCGUAGCCGACCUGAGAGGGUGAUCGGCCACACUGGAACUGAGACACGGUCCAGACUCCUACGGGAGGCAGCAGUAGGGAAUCUUCCGCAAUGGGCGAAAGCCUGACGGAGCAACGCCGCGUGAAUGAUGAAGGUCUUCGGAUCGUAAAACUCUGUUAUUAGGGAAGAACAAAUGUGUAAUUAACUAUGCACGUCUUGACGGUACCUAAUCAGAAAGCCACGGCUAACUACGUG